UAUAGGUGAAGUUAUGAGCAACCAAAACUAGAGUUAUACAAUAGUCAACUGUAAUUACAGUGGUGCUUUGAACGCUGCCUAUAAUAUUGGCACAGGUGUCAAUGUAAGUUCUUGGGGUGCUGUUGUGGUUUAACACCAGCCAGCAGCUGAGCCCCACACAGCCACUCACCUAUUUGCCCCUGGUGGGAUGGGAGAGAAAAUCAGAAGCGUACAAGUGGCAAAACUCAUAGGCUGAGAUAAAGACAGUUGAAUAGGGAAAGCAAAAGCUGCACAUGCAAGCAAAGCAACGCAAGGAAUUCAUUCACUGCUUCGCAUCGGCCGGCAGGUGCUCAGCCAUCCCCAGGAAAGCAGGGCUCUUACCAAGUCUAACAGUGACUUGGGAAGACAAACACCAUCACCACAAACGUCUCCCCGUUCCUUCUUCUUUCCCCAGCUUUAUAUGCCGAGCGUGACAUUACACGGUGUGGGAUUUCCCUUGGGACACUGGAGGUCCCCUGUCCUGGCUGUGUCCACUCCCAACCCCUUGUGUACCCCCAGCCUCCUCGCUGGUGGGGGGCGGUGAGAAGCAGAAAAGGCCUUGACUCUGUUUAAGCGCUGUUCAGCAGUAACGAAAACAGCCCUGUGCUAUCAGCACUGUUUCCAGCACAAACCCAAAACAUAGACCUGUACCAGCUACUGUGAAGAAAAUUAACUCUAUCCCGACCAAAACCAGCACAGCCACUCUCCCAGUCCCCUCGCAGAACUGUAUGUAAUCCCCAGCUUGCUGGUUUGAGGGGAUGGGAACGAGUGUUUUGCAUCAGAGGUGAUCUGCAUCUGAAAGGCAAAUGAACUGGUGACUUUCAGAGCAGUAUCUUGUCUGUGUUUACCCAGGGUCAGAUUUAGCUGGUCUAUUAUGUUUCUGUUGCACUGGGAGGAAGGAUGUAACGAAGAGGUGGCCUUGGAUGAUGGAGAACAACUCGGGCAUGAGGAAGCUGGGAUGGCAGAGAUUAAUGGAGCUGCAUCCCAUCUGCAAUAUCUCCAUCUAAGCAAGGCUUUCCUAGGAAGCUGGAAGGUAACCUACUGCUGACAGAGGUUGUCUGUUGUAGAAGCAGCUCCUUGCGUAGCAGGGAGUCCGCGCCGAAACUGCAUGUCCUGGAUGAUGGUGCCUUGUGGGAAUGUUCAUGCCACAGACAAUCAUGGGCAAGCAUUUUAGAAGCUUGUACAUGGGAGAAUAUUCUCGCCUCCAUCAGCUGCUAAAUUGAGCUGCAUGUGAACUCUCCCAGCAGCAGAGGUAGUGCUGACAAACACUCAUCUUUGGCGAUGAAAGGAGUGCAGGUGAGAGGAAAUUCUGUGGGAGGAGACCUGCUUUGAAUUUCUUGUGGAAACCGUAAUUAUGUGAUUCAGCGUAGAGACGUAUGAGGGUUUCCAGUGUAAGCUAUAAAAAACACUUAGAGAAACAGCCUACGGAUGAGGCUGCUCAUUCAGACCUUAUCUACUCAUGUGGGAGUGUGGAAAUCUUAGCACUCCACCUUAUCUCUUCUCUCCUGGGAGAUCAGUGUUGAGAGAAUUUGACCUCUCACUUACUGUUUCAAAUCAAACCUGGUGUAAGAGUGGCUGUGGCCAUGCAGUGCCUCAAUCACUUAAUGAAAUAAUCUUGUUCCCUGCCCUUGCGGGUAGAAAUAGGUCUUGCCAAAAUACCACUUAAGUGAUACCUGGAGGAUAGUUGUAAUGAAAUAGAGCUAUGGCAGAAACAUCCUCCCUUCCUCCAGGCUUUCCUUGCAGGUGCAGAGCUUUGGAUGUUUGAGGCUGUAGAAUUUUGUCCCUCUGCUUUGGGGCAGGUCCCACUUUGUGUAUGAAGGUGAUCCCUGUUAUUGUGCUUGUUCCUGGGCUUUUGCAGUUCCCUGCAGGUUUAAAUGGAUUUUAAAUCAUCGGUUUAUUCAAAGCAUUCAGCACAAGGAGAUCCCAGGUCUGGAAUGGAUGUUCUCCAAAAGCAAGGGCAUCUCAAUGCCAGCACAGGAGUAUUCAUGCAAAGAGCUCUCAGCCGGAGUGGGCCCAGAAUCUGUUUUGCUUUCUCACACUUGGAGCUGGGAUAUUUUAAAGCAUAUCAAGCGGCAAAUGUGGCAAAGGGGAAAAAUUGUUACAGACUGUGUUUGGCUGAAAACCAGCAAAGAUAAAAUACCAUACGUUCUGUGCAAUGAGCUCCUACAUAAAUGAUUCAUUCACUAGAACACAGCUGGGGUCAACACCUACUAUCUGAAUAGCCCAAACAUGCAAAUGUUUUAAUGUGGAUUUUCUCUCUCUCAAAAUAAAGGGCAAUAUAUUCCCUUCCAAUAAAAAGCUCUUUAUCUAUACAACUUUUAAGAAUCAAAAUCCCACAAGAACAGUGUCAUGGUAUUGUACAGAUAUAUAUACAGUAGCUGAAUAGCUAGAAAAUGACAACAUAUGCCCUAGAGAUGCAAACUCUAGAAAGAUUGCUUGUUUUCCUCUCUAUUACCAGCCAAGUCUGUUCUACAAAUCGUGUGUGGUGAAGAUCACACUAUUUCAAAAUAUCAAAUUGCUAAUUAAAGAAACUACUCAAGGAAACUUUCCAGUAGAACAAUAUAUGCAGUGGGAUAAUCGUAGUCACUAUUUCUUUAAUGAGUUUCUUUCCUAACCAGAAUUUCUUACAAUACAUUCAGUGCAGCCAUUCAGUUAGAUUAUUAUGAAUCACAUGUGUAUUAUUUCUGAUUCGGUAUUAACAUAAAAACUUCUGAUGAACAAUAGUAUUACAAAAACAGGUCUAGUGUAUAGAAUGGCAAUAUCAUUCCUGCAGAUAAAAGCAUGGAAAUGGAAGUCCUUAUGCAGCAAUACAAUUUAAUGUGUUAGUUUCUAGGCUUAAUUUGUAAAGGUGCUGAGAAACUACAUGUCCAAUUGAAGCCAAGAAGAGAACAGGAUGUCUCUGGAUGGUCAGGUUCUGAACAGAAGUGGACGUAAUGAAGUGGAUUUCCAAAAUAUUCCAAGAAAGUGGACAGCUUUUUCAGUAGCUUGAUGGUGCCUCAAAUAGCCAUUCUUCAUAUUCCCCUCAAUUAAAGAGACCAAACAACCAUUUAAAGCAGAGAACAAAGGAACUUCCUAAGUAUAAAGGUGAGGCUUUUCCUCCUUAUAAGUUUGGAGUGUCUACUGGGCAUUAGACAAGUAGCUCUUGAUAAAUCCUUGGUUGGAAUAACAUUAUCUCACCAAACAGUGAGAAACCUGUGGAAUGACUGUUCUUAAGCUCCCUUGAAAAUCUCUCCUGUAGCCUCUAGUGCUCUAAAUGACUUAGCCUCUUCUUUAUCAUUGGACUCAAUGACAAUAGUAGUGUUUAGAUAAUGGUUUUGGAUGAUUCUCCUGUAGCUGGUCCUCACCCUGGUGCUGGUUACCAUAACUCUUCUGCAUUCCCGUGCUGAUUGAUUCCCAUUUCUUUCCAAAUAAGAACUGAAGCAAACCCCCCGGGAAUUAAUCACGUGGAGGAAGACAGCAGCUUGGUUUGGCCAUUAUGUGAAGAUAGUGGAGUCAAGGCUUUCAGGCUGGGGACCAGCACUUCACUGUGCUAUAUUCUACACUAACUCAUAA